UCCCCGUUGCCGAGGCAGUCUCGCCAGAUAAUCCAACUGACAAUGAGGGUUGCGCUCGUUACUGGACUUAACCUAACAUCUCACGACACGAGCUGACGACGACCAUGCAUCACCUGUCACCGGUCCAGCCGAACUGACGUGCUCAUUUCUGUGCACUGCGACCGGGAUGUCAAGCCUUGGAUAAGGUUCUUCGCGUAUCGUCGAAUUAAACCACACGCUCCACCGCUUGUGCGGGUCCCCGUCAAUUCCUUUGAGUUUUAGCCUUGCGGCCGUACUCCCCAGGCGGGAUGCUUAACGCGUUAGCUUCGCUACCGAGGGGGUCGAUACCCCCGACAGCUAGCAUCCAUCGUUUACGGCGUGGACUAC
rnacentral:misc_RNA from 1 species